GUAAUAGAGGCGCGGGUUUUAUCAGUAGUCUGCCAUUCAUGCGCGGAAACGCGGCAGGCGAAAGGAAAAGCCGCCGAGGUUGGCAUCGGUUUUCCGGCUUAUGCCUGCCGGGAUAACGCAGAAUAUGCGUUAUACUGUCGCGGAAGCGGAGUGCUAUUCGG
rnacentral:ncRNA from 1 species